UCUUACAACUCUCUUUAGGUCUCUCCCAAUCUUCUAUGAAAUAGAUAUAUUUGACAAAACAUUUAUGGGGAAGAGUACUUCUACUUACAUGCUCACGAUAGCUUUCCUUCCUCAUAAUAUCUGGUGCAGAUAUUAAAAGAGUGCCAUUAGAACCCAAAAGACAUGUCAGAGAAGAUAUUUCUAUGUUGACACAGAGGAAAGUUAUACAUAACGAAGAUGAAGAUCAUUUGGAUAAGACACUUUCUAUUGAUACUGCCAAAAGUUCUUCAGACUUUGAAACUAUCCAAAUUCAGAAAAAAGGUAAUCUACUUUAUCAAAUUUGUUAAUAUUGCAGUGGGUAUUAUUUUAUAGUAACUGUUAUGCUCAAUCAUUUUUGUUGAGCAUCACCAAUAUUCUCCUCGAUUCAUGGUCAUAAUUUUUUAGCUGCAAGCUGAAAUCUGAGGCUUAGAAUGACUAAUGUCAACACUUACAUGUUUAGAUGAAGCAUUUUCAUUGGCAUGGGAGAUCGAUUGCGUUCCUGCUUCUUAUCUGUCUUAUUGUGAAGUCAUCAAUGAUUAUUAGAGCAUAUGAAUUGUUCAUGUUUUCCGCUUCAUAUUCCUGUAUGAGUUCACUUUAUGGAAAUGGUAAAGAUAAAAUUCUGCUGGUUUUUAAAGCUAA
rnacentral:lncRNA from 1 species